ACUCGAGUGGCGAACGGGUGAGUAACACGUGGGUGAUCUGCCCUGCACUUCGGGAUAAGCUUGGGAAACUGGGUCUAAUACCGGAUAGGAGCCAUCUUUAGUGUGGUGGUUGGAAAGUUUUCGGUGUAGGAUGAGCUCGCGGCCUAUCAGCUUGUUGGUGGGGUAAUGGCCUACCAAGGCGGCGACGGGUAGCCGGACUGAGAGGUUGGUCGGCCACAUUGGGACUGAGAUACGGCCCAG
rnacentral:rRNA from 1 species